rnacentral:rRNA from 1 species
UACGUAGGGGGCUAGCGUUGUCCGGAAUCAUUGGGCGUAAAGCGCACGUAGGCGGCUUUGUAAGUUAGAGGUGAAAGCCCGGGGCUCAACCCCGGAAUUGCCUUUAAGACUGCAUCGCUUGAAUCCGGGAGAGGUGAGUGGAAUUCCGAGUGUAGAGGUGAAAUUCGUAGAUAUUCGGAAGAACACCAGUGGCGAAGGCGGCUCACUGGACUGGUAUUGACGCUGAGGUGCGAAAGCGUGGGGAGCAAACAGG